rnacentral:ncRNA from 1 species
AUCAGAAUGGUGAGCUAUUCCUGGGCAGAGCGAAGCCAGAGGAAACUCUGGUGGAGGCCCACAGCGGUCCGGAUGUGCAAAUCGGUCAUCUGACCUGGGUAUAGGAGCGAAAGACUAAUCGAACCAUAUAGUAACUGG